rnacentral:rRNA from 1 species
GUACACUCCUGCGGGAGGCAGCAGUGGGGAAUUUUGGACAAUGGGCGAAAGCCUGAUCCAGCAAUGCCGCGUGAGUGAAGAAGGCCUUCGGGUUGUAAAGCUCUUUUGUCAGGGAAGAAACGGUGAGAGCUAAUAUCUCUUGCUAAUGACGGUACCUGAAGAAUAAGCACCGGCUAACUACGUGCCAGCAGCCGCGGUAAUACGUAGGGUGCAAGCGUUAAUCGGAAUUACUGGGCGUAAAGCGUGCGCAGGCGGUUUUGUAAGUCUGAUGUGAAAUCCCCGGGCUCAACCUGGGAAUUGCAUUGGAGACUGCAAGGCUAGAAUCUGGCAGAGGGGGGUAGAAUUCCACGUGUAGCAGUGAAAUGCGUAGAUAUGUGGAGGAACACCGAUGGCGAAGGCAGCCCCCUGGGUCAAGAUUGACGCUCAUGCACGAAAGCGUGGGGAGCAAACAGGAUUAGAAACCCUUGUAGUCCG